rnacentral:rRNA from 1 species
CUACGGGAGGCUCCAGUAGGGAAUUUUCCACAAUGGGCGCAAGCCUGAUGGAGCAACGCCGCGUGCAGGAUGAAAGCCUUCGGGUUGUAAACUGCUUUUAUGUGCGAAGAAUUUGACGGUAACAUAUGAAUAAGGGUCGGCUAACUACGUGCCAGCAGCCGCGGUCAUACGUAGGACCCAAGCGUUAUCCGGAAUUACUGGGCUUAAAGAGUUGCGUAGGUGGCAUAGUAAGUGGAGCGUGAAAGCGUGUGGCUCAACCAUACAAUUGCGUUCUAAACUGCUAAGCUAGAGUACGAGAGAGGUAGAUGGAAUUUCCAGUGUAGGAGUGGAAUCCGUAGAUAUUGGAAGGAACACCGAUGGCGUAAGCAGUCUACUGGCUCGUUACUGACACUAAGGCACGAAAGCGUGGGGAGCAAACGGGAUUAGAUACCCCAGUAGUC